AGGCUAGUAUUGCUCUUCCACGGAUGCCUCAGAAGGAGGACCUCUGCUCCCUGACUAUCGUUGACCGCAGGCUUCAGCUCUCAGAAGAUUAGUGAAAGAUGAUGGCUGAUCUGGAGCAUCUUCGCUGAGGACAAAACGAGAUAGAUGACGCUUUGGAGACAUCUUUCUGGGGCAACAGAGAACGGAGGUCCCUUUUUGAGAAGACCCGAGACAAUGAUGUGCUUCCACGCCAGAAUGGGAAGAAAUGGUCCAAGAGAGCAAACGUGAAGGGGAGCAGUGGGCUUGACGUCCAUUUUGAUAUCACUGAGGCCCAGGUAGAUCUUUCUGCUUUGAGAUGAACUGCUGUAGUAUAUCCUGCUGCUGGACAGAAGUGAUACAGCUUCCCAGGGAACAGGGAGUACUUACAAGAAGGUGGCAGUUGGGGCGCCUGGGUGGCGCAGUCGGUUAAGCGUCCGACUUCAGCCAGGUCACGAUCUCGCGGUCCGUGAGUUCGAGCCCCGCGUCGGGCUCUGGGCUGAUGGCUCAGAGCCUGGAGCCUGUUUCCGAUUCUGUGUCUCCCUCUCUCUCUGCCC